ACGAAGGGGGCUAGCGUUGCUCGGAAUGACUGGGCGUAAAGGGCGCGUAGGCGGUUUACACAGUCAGAUGUGAAAUUCCAGGGCUUAACCUUGGGGCUGCAUUUGAUACGUGUAGACUAGAGUGUGAGAGAGGGUUGUGGAAUUCCCAGUGUAGAGGUGAAAUUCGUAGAUAUUGGGAAGAACACCGGUGGCGAAGGCGGCAACCUGGCUCAUUACUGACGCUGAGGCGCGAAAGCGUGGGGAGCAAACAGG
rnacentral:rRNA from 1 species